CCUACGGGGGGCUGCAGUGGGGAAUUUUGGACAAUGGGCGCAAGCCUGAUCCAGCAAUGCCGCGUGCAGGAAGAAGGCCUUCGGGUUGUAAACUGCUUUUGUCAGGGAAGAAAUCCUCUGGGUUAAUACCUCGGGGGGAUGACGGUACCUGAAGAAUAAGCACCGGCUAACUACGUGCCAGCAGCCGCGGUAAUACGUAGGGUGCGAGCGUUAAUCGGAAUUACUGGGCGUAAAGCGUGCGCAGGCGGUUGUGCAAGACAGGUGUGAAAUCCCCGGGCUUAACCUGGGAACUGCACUUGUGACUGCACGGCUAGAGUACGGUAGAGGGGGAUGGAAUUCCGCGUGUAGCAGUGAAAUGCGUAGAUAUGCGGAGGAACACCGAUGGCGAAGGCAAUCCCCUGGACCUGUACUGACGCUCAUGCACGAAAGCGUGGGGAGCAAACAGGAUUAGAUACCCCGGUAGUC
rnacentral:rRNA from 1 species